rnacentral:rRNA from 1 species
AUGCAGAGCCAGAUCGUGUGCCACGGGUGCAGGAGGCUUCUACUCUACCCCAGAGGCGCUCCGAGCGUGUGCUGCGCGGUAUGCCGUGUGGUCAGCAACGUGCCACCUCCAGGAAUGGAGAUGGCUCGACUUAUUUGUGGUGGCUGCCAAACAUUAUUGAUGUAUACUUGCAAUGCAACAACUGUAAGAUGCUCAUGUUGUGACACAGUCAAUCUUGUCAGACCAGUGAGUAGCAUAGCUCAUGUGAACUGUGGCCGGUGCCAAACAGUGUUGAUGUAUCCAUAUGGAGCACCAUCUGUCAAAUGUGCCAUCUGCAACUUCAUUACAAGUGUUGGUGGGCAUCAGGUACCAACUGUGAGACCUUUGCCACCCACGCUGCCUGCAUCAAGUGGAAAUUCAUAUAACAUUCCGUCAACUUCCGCGCCAAUGAGUCAAUCACAGAACGUAACUGUUGUUGUUGAAAAUCCAAUGACAGUAGAUGACAAGGGAAAAUUGGUGAGCAAUGUUGUAGUUGGGGUUACAACUGGUGGAAAAAAGUGA